rnacentral:rRNA from 1 species
UACGUAGGGGGCUAGCGUUGUCCGGAAUUAUUGGGCGUAAAGAGCACGUAGGUGGCUUAUCAAGUCAGGUGUGAAAUCAUUAGGCUUAACCUGAUAAUUGCACUUGAAACUGAUUAGCUUGAGUCCAGAAGAGGAGAGUGGAAUUCCUAGUGUAGCGGUGAAAUGCGCAGAUAUUAGGAGGAACACCAGUUGCGAAGGCGGCUCUCUGGUCUGUGACUGACACUGAGGUGCGAAAGCUAGGGGAG